rnacentral:rRNA from 1 species
AGUGAACGCUGGCGGCAGGCUUAACACAUGCAAGUCGAACGGCAGCACAGUAAUAGCUUGCUCUUACGGGUGGCGAGUGGCGGACGGGUGAGGUAUACAGCGGAAUCUACUUUUUCGUGGGGGGUAACGAAGGGAAACUUACGCUAAUACCGGAUACGACCUACGGGUGAAAGGAGGGGAUCUUGGGACCUUGCGCGGUUGAAUGAGCCGAUGUCGGAGUAGCUAGUUGGCGGGGUUAUGGCCGACCAAUGCGACGCUCCGUAGCUGGGCUGGGAGAAUGAUCGGCCACAAUGGAACUGGAACACGGACCAGACUCCUACGGGAGGCAGCAGUGGGCAACAUUGGGCAGUAGGCGCGAGCAUUGUCCAGCCAUACGACGUGGGUUGAGGAAGCCUUGGGGUUGGGAAGCCGUUUUGUUGGGAGUGAAAAGCUGCAGGUUAAUACGCAGCUGUACUGACGGUACCCAAAGAAUAAGCACCGGCUAACUUCGUG